rnacentral:ribozyme from 1 species
UGCUCAGCAACUCCUAUACCUACCUCCUCGUGGUACAGGCCGUGGUACAAGUACCUAAGGGUAGA